AGCACUGCAAAGGGGAAAAAAGUCACAAGGAUGUAAGUAACCUGUUGCAUUUUCUCAUAUUUCUAUAGCAAGCGGCAUCCAGCUAAUGUGCCAAGAGACUCCUUUCAUACCUUUCCACUCAACAAAGAAAUCCUGACUUCCCAGAACAUGUGUGCACAUAACAAAAGCAAUUGUUACACACAAGCAGCACACUAUUUCUUAACUGAAAUAUGAGUUCCUUAUGAGAAAAUGAAAAGACAACAAUGGCUGUUGAAGACCACUUUCAAAAGGAAGAACAAUAAAGACUAGAAUUGCAUGCAAAUCAGAAGGUUCUUCAAUGAUAAUCGGGAAGGUGUAAUUUCUAACUGUAAUCUGUGGGCAAUUAUAGAGUACAAGUCAAUAUAACUUUAUGUUACAUGCUUAGUGGAAUAUUGAAAAAUGAAACAAGACCUCAAGGACAUCUCAUUUGUUAUAACCGUUGCAUGGGUAGUAAUAACAUUCAUAUAUUACUUUCGUAUUAUAUUAUAAUUUAGUAUCCUGAGCCAGAAGAGAAAUCCAGAAUAGUGUGUGCAGUUCAAAAUGACUUUUCAAAAGUGUAUUUUAAAUUUCACUGAAAACAUUUACAUUUGAAUUGAAAAGAAAAAGUGAUGCAAUUCAUCUGAAAUGGGACUAGAACUCACACCUCCAAUUAGCUCAGCUGGUUAGAACAUGGAGCUGAUAACUCCCAUAAGGCCCAGCUGCAAAUUCCUGCAUUGCAGGGGGUUGGCCUAGAAUCCUCUGAGACCCUUCCAACUCUAUGAUUCUAGGAGCUCCCGAUGUGUAGUGCAGUCCUCCAAAACAUUUCCCCAGAGUGGAGAACAUAGGAAAGAACACUUUUAACUAGUGCAUCCAGAGCUUUAGUUUGAAUUGCUGUAAGUGAACAGUAGAACUUCCCAGAUCCUUCUCUCAUCAUCUUUCUAUGAUCCUCUCAAUACAGAGAGUACUUGCAGCAAUCCUGUGUUCUAAAGGGAUUCACUGAGAGAAGGUACUCCAUCAUGGAUUUCCCUGAUGCAAGAGAGCAAUUCACUGGCCAUGUGGAUCAACAUCCCCACAGAAAGCUGCUUGUCCCUAAACAACCUGUCACAUGAUUCAGUGCUAUCACACUGAGAGCUUCCUCCACCACCAGCAAUGAAUGUCAUUGACAUCCACGGCAGGCAGGCAAACUCACCAUGUAAACGGCCCAGAAAUGAUGGGGUGGUCAGAAACACACCAGGGAAAACCUACUUCUGUUGUAAAGUUUAAUAGCUAGACCAACUCAAAGAAUCUUAUUAAAGUCUACAUGUGAAACAUUCUGGACUUUUCUACUGGCUCAGCUUCCCUACAAAAAAAAGCUAGCGACACAGGUCUGAAACAUGUCAGUAACAGAAAGAUAUAUUGCUCCACCAGCUGAGAUGUCAAACAGCUUAGCUCAGAAGGACAAACCCAGCCUGCAGGCCAUAGUUGCCAGCCCUCUGUGGGAAAAGAAGGGUUUCUCCUUAUCCAAACAAUAUUCAGAGAGUGAUUUAACUCUAUCACUUAUUGCAAGAGCAUUUAAAAAAAAGAAAUUGAUAGGUAGGCCUUCCAAGACUGGGCUUUUGUUUUUCCCCGCUACAAAGUCAUAAACAUUGCUACAGUACCUGCAGAAGACUCUCUAUGGCAUGAAAACCACGAAUUAAAUUCAAAGCCCCACAUAAAAGGCUGAGUAGAAAGGAAACAAUCCCUGACAGAGUCACAGGUUCCAGUCGCUGGUGAGGGGCUGGAAGGCAGAGGGGAAAAAGCACUUAUCAAUAUUUAAAGAUGUGUUCCUUAAUAUUUGAGCCAAAAAUGUUAAUGCUAUUUUUCAGUGACUUCCUGCUCAAGAUUCUGUAACUUAAAUGAGAAAAUACUCAUAAGCUUAAGAGACUCCUUUUUCAUUUAUUUUAAACUGAGUACUUGCUUAGAGAAUAUAUAACAGCAAGCUGAAGAAGCAUAACUCUCAGAGCACAUUGGAAAAAAUAUAUUUUGCAUGAGCAAAAACUGAAACUCUCCAAGGCCUGGUUAAAAAUAAGUUUUGAACGAAUGCACUCAAGUUCUUCAGUAUUAGACUUGGAUUACAGCACAGCUGUAAAUUUCCACAAUGUAGAACUAGCUGGUGAAAUUAGUCUGCAAUUAGCUACUGAGUAGUUAAGUCUCACCCUUGAAAUAGGGCUCUCAGAGUUUGCUUUUCUGCUCUACUAAUGCAUAAAUUACAGCUCUUAAUGAAUGAUUUAUAGCCGACCCUAAACAUGCUUACUCAGAGGUAGGGGCUCAAUGGUACUUACUUACUUGCAAGUAAGUAAGUGCACAGAAGUUGACAGCCUGAUCCUUUUCCAUAUUUUUAAAUGACAGCAAUGUGGAAUAUUACAAAA